AAAUUACGCCUUCCAUGAAGCCGGAAUUGCUAGUAAUGGCAGGUCAGCAUACUGCCGUGAAUACGUUCCCGGGCCUUGUACACACCGCCCGUCACACCAUGAGAGUUGGAAAUACCCGAAGCCUGUGAGCUAACUUAAGGGAGGCAGCAGUCGAAGGUAGAGCCAAUGAUUGGGGUGAAGUCGUAACAAGGUAAC
rnacentral:rRNA from 1 species